rnacentral:lncRNA from 1 species
AUCUGGGGUGGUGGUCCAUGCCUGUCAUUUCAGCCCUCCAGACGCUUGACUCUUAAUCACUGUCCUUGGGCCCCUGAGCCAUCACCGCCUCCUUCACUCCUACAGAUACUUCAUCUAAUAAUUUCUGAGGAAACAGAAGCCUUGAGGCAGACGCUCCAGCAACCUGCCCAGACUUCCUUUCUCUCCAGAUACAUCCUCUUAGAAGCCUCAACAGCUGAAAGGAAGGAGGCCUGUCUGUCUGUCAAUGCCU